rnacentral:rRNA from 1 species
CGCGUGUACUGGUCCGGCCGGGCCUUUCCCUCUGUGGAACCCCAUGCCCUUCACUGGGUGUGGCGGGGAAACAGGACUUUUACUGUGAAAAAAUUAGAGUGCUCCAGGCAGGCCUAUGCUCGAAUACAUUAGCAUGGAAUAAUAGAAUAGGACGUGUGGUUCUAUUUUGUUGGUUUCUAGGACCGCCGUAAUGAUUAAUAGGGACAGUCGGGGGCAUCAGUAUUCAAUUGUCAGAGGUGAAAUUCUUGGAUUUAUUGAAGACUAACUACUGCGAAAGCAUUUGCCAAGGAUGUUUUCAUUAAUCAGGAACGAAAGUUAGGGGAUCGAAGACGAUCAGAUACCGUCGUAGUCUUAACCAUAAACUAUGCCGACUAGGGAUCGGACGGUGUUAUAUUUUGACCCGUUCGGCACCUUACGAGAAAUCAAAGUGCUUGGGCUCCAGGGGGAGUAUGGUCGCAAGGCUGAAACUUAAAAAAAUUGACGGAAGGGCACCACCAGGGGUGGAGCCUGCGGCUUAAUUUGACUCAACACGGGGAAACUCACCAGGUCCAGACACAAUGAGGAUUGACAGAUUGAGAGCUCUUUCUCGAUUUUGUGGGUGGUGGUGCAUGGCCGUUCUUAGUUGGUGGAGUGAUUUGUCUGCUUAAUUGCGAUAACGAACGAGACCUUAACCUGCUAAAUAGCCCGUAUUGCUUUGGCAGUACGCUGGCUUCUUAGAGGGACUAUCGG